GUCGGCAUCGUCACCGUGCAGCCGACGAGCGUGCCGGUCACUGUCGACUUGCCGGGUCGCACCAAUGCGUUUCUCGUGGCGCAAGUGCGCGCACGGGUCGACGGCAUCGUGCAGCGCCGCGAGUUCACCGAAGGCGCCGAGGUCAAGGCCGGUCAGCGUCUCUACAAGAUCGA
rnacentral:ncRNA from 1 species